UUUAUUUUUUGUGGACGCACAUAAUGAUAAAAUUCAGAAUGAAGCAGAUUUGCAAUCAGCGCUAAUGCCACAAGAAUUAAAUCCAGAAUUUGUUCCAGAUAAAGAUGGUCCUCUCCGUGCGAUAUUUCCUAUCAGACAGCGACGUGACGUAUACGACACGACAUCGCUAUACGACACGACGUCGCAAGUGAAAUCGUACAGUCGUGUCGUCGCAACUGUUGUGUUGGCUAUAUCAGCAAUGGUUGAAAUUGUUGUUUAUGUAUUAGAAACUUAUUGGCUUAUUUG